rnacentral:rRNA from 1 species
GAUGAACGCUGGCGGCGUGCCUAAUACAUGCAAGUCGAGCGAACAGACGAGGAGCUUGCUCCUCUGACGUUAGCGGCGGACGGGUGAGUAACACGUGGAUAACCUACCUAUAAGACUGGGAUAACUUCGGGAAACCGGAGCUAAUACCGGAGAAUAUAUUGAACCGCAUGGUUCAAUAGUGAAAGACGGUUUUGCUGUCACUAAUAGAUGGAUCCGCGCUGCAUUAGCUAGUUGGUAAGGUAACGGCUUACCAAGGCAAGGAUGCGUAGCCGACCUGAGAGGGUGAUCGGCCACACUGGAACUGAGACACGGUCCAGACUCCUACGGGAGGCAGCAGUAGGGAAUCUUCCGCAAUGGGCGAAAGCUUGACGGAGCAACGCCGCGUGAGUGAUGAAGGUCUUCGGAUCGUAAAACUCUGUUAUUAGGGAAGAACAAAUGUGUAAGUAACUAUGCACGUCUUGACGGUACCUAAUCAGAAAGCCACGGCUAACUACGUG